CAAACUAUCUUUUAGGAAGCUCAUUGUUUACAUUAAUGACGUGAUCGUGCGAUUCGAUCUUGUUUGA
rnacentral:tRNA from 1 species